UACGUAGGUGGCAAGCGUUGUCCGGAUUUAUUGGGCGUAAAGCGAGCGCAGGCGGUUCUUUAAGUCUGAUGUGAAAGCCCCCGGCUCAACCGGGGAGGGUCAUUGGAAACUGGGGAACUUGAGUGCAGAAGAGGAGAGUGGAAUUCCAUGUGUAGCGGUGAAAUGCGAAGAUAUAUGGAGGAACACCAGUGGCGAAGGCGACUCUCUGGUCUGUAACUGACGCUGAGGCUCGAAAGCGUGGGGAGCAAACAGGAUUAGAUACCCU
rnacentral:rRNA from 1 species